rnacentral:rRNA from 1 species
UGCAAGUCGAACGAGAAGCUUGGUUCGCCAAGUGGAAAGUGGCAGACGGUUGAGUAACGCGUGGGAAUCUACCUAGAGGUUCGGAAUAACUAUUGGAAACGAUAGCUAAUACCGGAUACGCCCUUCGGGGGAAAGAUUUAUUGCCUUUAGAUGAGCCCGCGUCGGAUUAGCUUGUUGGUAAGGUAACGGCUUACCAAAGCAACGAUCCGUAGCUGGUCUGAGAGGAUGAUCAGCCAGAUUGGGACUGAGACACGGCCCAGACUCCUACGGGAGGCAGCAGUAGGGAAUAUUGCGCAAUGGGGGAAACCCUGACGCAGCGAUGCCGCGUGAGUGAAGAAGGCCUUAGGGUUGUAAAACUCUUUCAGUGGUGAAGAUAAUGACGGUAACCACAGAAGAAGCACCGGCUAACUCCGUGCCAGCAGCCGCGGUAAUACGGAGGGUGCGAGCGUUAAUCGGAAUUACUGGGCGUAAAGCGCACGCAGGCGGUUUGUUAAGCUAGAUGUGAAAGCCCCGGGCUCAACCUGGGAUGGUCAUUUAGAACUGGCAGACUAGAGUCUUGGAGAGGGGAGUGGAAUUCCAGGUGUAGCGGUGAAAUGCGUAGAUAUCUGGAGGAACAUCAGUGGCGAAGGC